UCCAGUGGUUGUCAGCUGUGCAGGCGUGUACCGUGCCUGAGCGAGUGUUACUCUGCUGGUAAAGGAAGGCUGUGCCGUUUGGGCUCGGCUCAGGUGUUGCUGUUUUAGUGAUAUCCUGACGCUGUGCUGUGGUGGAGCCUUACCCACUCUGAGAGUGGGCUGCUCCCUCACCGGUGGGGGCCGCCCUAGUCUGUGGGUAAACAUG
ensembl:snoRNA SNORA74 Small nucleolar RNA SNORA74